GAGUUUGAUCCUGGCUCAGGAUGAACGCUAGCUGGAGGCUUAAUACAUGCAAGUCGAGCGGGAUUGGUAGCAAUACCAUGAGAGCGGCGCACGGGUGAGUAACGCGUACACGACCUACCUCUGACAGGGGGAUAGCCCUGGGAAACUGGGAUUAAUACCGCAUAUUAUUCUGAUUAAUAAAGGAUUGGAAUGAAAGUUCAGGCGGUCAGAGAUGGGUGUGCGUCUGAUUAGCUAGUUGGUGGGGUAACGGCCUACCAAGGCGAUGAUCAGUAGGGGGCGUGAGAGCGUGGUCCCCCACACGGGUACUGAGACACGGACCCGACUCCUACGGGAGGCAGCAGUAAGGAAUAUUGGACAAUGGCCGCAAGGCUGAUCCAGCCAUCCAGCGUGCAGGAAGAAGGCCCUAUGGGUUGUAAACUGCUUUUAUCAGGGAAGAAACCUCUGGAUUCACUCCGGAGCUGACGGUACCUGAAGAAUAAGCACCGGCUAACUCCGUGCCAG
rnacentral:rRNA from 1 species